AAUUGUAUACAUCUGUGCUUUGAUAACUUUCAGGCUAAAGCUGGAGCUGGCUCUGCAACUCCCUCAACGGUGUGUCCUUUUUUUGGCCCGUGAGUUGUAGUCUGAUCUCUUUCAUGAGCAGGAAAUCUGAUGGCUCUUUGAUAUGCUAACUCUUUCACAAGCUCAAAUAAUGUGAAAAUGAAAUAGCAGGCAUAUGCCGCUGUGAAGUUUGCCAACGUGUUGGCAUUGUCAGAGUGUGCACUUUGCUUCUCAAGGGAAAGAGCUUCCAUUCUUUGCAUCUAAAGUCGCCUUGGCCGUACUGGGGCCAAGGAGGUUCUUCUCAUUGGCUUGCUGAAUGAAGAUGGCUUUAAAAGGGCAAAGAAAGAGCUAGCGGCCAGCAUUCAGAAGGGCAUUUCAUUAAUCAAGAAGUGAGCAGGUUAAGGACGUGGCUUUACAAAGGAAAAAGACGUCUCUGCUUUCAUAGUUUCUGGCUAUUUUCUACUAAAAAUUGGUGACUUAGGAAUAAGUGGUUCAAACCAAACAAGAUAUCCAAGUUUAUUUUGCCUACAUGGCAUAGAAAACACAAAGGUUUUUCUUUUCUCGCAUGCAGUGUACUCAAAUGUUGGUCUGUGUAAUAACAUGGUGGACUGAUGUUGGUGUAUAUCAUUGUACUAUGUCCA